GUCUUGAAAGACUGACACUGACAUCAAAUGCUGAUUAUAUAAAGAACACAGGUUUCACACUGCAGUAGAAAGCAUCAUACCACAGGUGCACCACGAUCAUGGCUGUUUUGAAUACCAUGGGGUCCUUUUCUGUCUUUGGAUGUUUGAGAAUCAAAAACUAAUGUGUACCUUUCACCAAAAAGUUUUUCAGUCCUUGAGGAUAAUGGUUGGAUAAGUACAACAUGUAUUGACAAAGCUGAGUUCACCUCCCAGGCACUGCAAAUAUAUUUAUUUUUAUCUAGAAACAAGGAGAAGCAGUUCCUUCUUGCAUUGCAUCGCUCAGAGCACUCGUGUGAAAUAGAGAUGGAUGCUCACAUCUCUUCCUCCUCCGAGGGUAAGCCAUAUGCAAGAUGGGACCAGUGAGAUGCAGCCAAGAAUGAAUCCUGCUCAAUAGCCCAGUGGUGUGGAUGACCCUCGAGGAGAAGAAAGAUUUGCAGUUUAGAAAGUGUACUAAAAGCAGAAGACCCUGAAAGAGCUGGGAACAGGAGGAAAAAACAUCCUCACACCAGGAAACAGCCUUCAAUCCCAUCAUGAGAGGACAAGCUUGCCCUGCUCAGCUAGUGUUGAGACAUUUUCCUCAUGCAAAGGUGGAAACAACCUUUUAGCCUUUGUGCAUUGAUAGUCUGUGCUUAAUGAGCAUAAAAGGCAGUCUUUGAAGC